GGGAGGCGCUUUCGGGGUGUGCUGGAUCUGUCUUUCUAGAGCAAGGGAUGCGAUGUUGAGCGGCGCGGGGCGCUGGCCGGGCCUUUCAGGGCCGAGGUUUGCGCCCUACUCUUCAUCCGCGUGCCUCCCGCUGUCCGGGACGCGCAGCCAGCCCCCGGGCACAGCGAGGGAGCCGCUCAGGCGCUAGACGCCUGUAACUCCGGGACCACAGGGCGACAGGCUCGGGGCAGCCAUGCUGGGGCACGCGGGUGCAGAUGGGCAGUGGGAGGUACGCGGGACGCUUGUGAGUCCUCGUGCCUCGUACUCCGUGGAGCUGGCUGCUGGAAGAGGGAGCUGCUUCAAGAUGAGCCCCACGGACCCGGACGCCUAGGAGCCCAGACUUCCUGCACCCCCAGGCCCUAAGGCGACCCUGGCCAGCUGCACCCAAUCAACCCCUAGCUGGAGAGACCCCAUGGCCAUGUUCCGGCUGCCCUGAGUCUGGGGCUGCAGAGCUUCCUGCCCGCAGAGCCUCCUGCCCACAGAGCCUCCUGCCCACAUCUGCAGGGCACUGAACCUGUCUGGCCCCUGACUGGCUCCCAAGCCUUCUCCUCUCUCAACCUGGUCCCAGGGACUCCCCGGCUUCAGGACUCAGCAGGGCACAGCAGCAGUUCCGUGCAUGCGGGGACCAGGACGGACAGGCUGCUGCUGCCCAGACCCCAAGACGUCUGUCUGUUUGCCUCCUGGUGCCAUCUGAUCCAGGGCCAGAUAAACUUCCAGGAGGUUGUGCCAUCUCGUGCUCUCACAGACCAGGUGUGUGGCUGCCCUCACCUACCAUGGCCAUUACUAGUCACUGAAAUCCCUGCUGAUCUCGUGAGCCAGAG
rnacentral:lncRNA from 1 species